rnacentral:lncRNA from 1 species
GAAAACUCCUGCACAGAUCUCUCCCUGGUUGCAGGGCAACCAACCCAGGGUCCGUGUAGCUCUUAGAAUGCCGAGUAAAAUCAGGGGAAAGACAGGGAUUACUCUGGGUUAUAAAUAAAACCCAGCUUAUGCUUUCCUCCACACUUCAGAUGCUUAGGGAAAAUUGGUUUUCUGAGAUUUUAAGGUUACUCAUCACUGUAUUAUCCAUUCCUUUUAUUGAUCUUAAAAUUAUUAAUCUCCAAACUGUAGUCAGCACUCGAGUUUAAAGGGUCAGGACUGAGCUAUAUAUAGAAGACACAAGUCAAUAUGAUGAACACCGUGGGAUCAGAGGAGCUCUACUCGUCACAGAAAGCAGUUCAGAACGAUGCCUGAUUUCCUCCUUGAGUCUCAGGUGAAUGGCAAGAUGGCAACUUGGGCAUGACACUUCCCAGGCUGAACCCCACCACCAAAUACCAUCCUCAGGCCAAAGACCCAGCUUUUGACUGCCAUAAAUGGUUUUGCUACAGAUUAUACCAUAUGGAGUUGAAACCAGCCAAAAACACACCAGGAAGUAAGUCUGAUGGAUAAUUUAUUGUCAGCUUGAUUGGAUGGAACACUCCAGGCAGCAGCAUGGCCAACCAUUGGAGAGAACUGACUGAGGGGAGAGACCCAAUCCACCCUGAUAGGAGCAACUAGUCACCACAGAGAGGAGCUGCUUUGCCAGCCACACCUUCCCAUCUAUGACAGGCGACUGGGCCCAAAUAAACCUCUCUUCCAUGAAGGUGCUGUUCUCUGG